GUGGCACGAUACACCCCUCUUUAGUGUACACAUGGUACAGCCCACUUGACAGCUUUGGUAAAGCCCGCACGCUGCAGCUGCACUUCUUGCAUAUUGUCUGAUAUUCACUAGAGACCGCUAAGGCCACUACAGCAAAGUUAUUUAUGUAGGAUUUUCAGAUUGAAACGGCCGAGUUAACUUUAUAUCAAUAUGUCUGUUAUAAAGAAAGGAGAUUUGACCAACACUGAAAAGGAGCUACUGGAGGUUAUUGCUGCAGGAAAUGUACAGGAAGCCUCAAGACUGCUGGGCUCUAAAGAUGUCAGAGUCAACUGCCUGGAUGAGUAUGGCAUGACUCCUCUCAUGCAUGCUGCGUAUAAGGGCAAGGCAGACAUGUGUAAGCUGCUGCUGCAACACGGCGCAGACGUCAACUGCAAUGAGCACGAGCACGGCUACACCGCUCUCAUGUUCGCAGGACUGUCGGGGAAAACAGAUAUCACCUGGAUGAUGUUAGACGCUGGAGCAGAGACGGAUGUGGUGAACUCUGUGGGCAGAACAGCAGCACAAAUGGCUGCUUUUGUAGGGCAGCAUGACUGUGUGACCGUUAUCAAUAACUUCUUCUCCCGGAAGAGACUUGACUACUACACAAAACCCCAGGGCUUGGAGAAGGAGCCAAAACUGCCUCCUAAACUGGCUGGACCUUUACACAAAAUUAUCAUGAGCACAAAUCUUAAUCCUGUCAAGAUGGUGAUGCUGGUGAAGGAAAAUCCUCUACUCAUGGAUGCAGAGGCUCUUGAGAAAUGUCGUAAAGUGAUGGAGCUGAUCUGCGAGAAGUGCGUAAAGCAGCAGGACAUGAACGAGGUGCUGGCCAUGAAGAUGCACUACAUCAGUUGUGUCCUGCAGAAAUGUGGCUCUUUCCUCAAAGACCGGGAGGAUAAACUGGACGGCCUCCUUAAGAGUCUACUAAAGGGACGAGACAGUGACUGCUUCCCGGUGUUCCAGGAAAAAUUUAUUCGGGAAUGCAUCCGGAAAUUUCCUUACUGCGACGCUACUUUACUCCAGCAGCUUGUCAGAAGUAUAGCUCCUGUGGAAAUAGGCAAUGACCCCACAGCUUUGUCAGUGCUCACCCAAGCCAUCACAGGACAGGUGGGCUUCAUGGAUGCUGAGUUCUGCACCACGUGUGGGGAGAAGGGGGCAGAGAAGAGGUGCUCCAUCUGCAAAAUGGUUAUUUACUGUAACCAAGAUUGCCAGAAGCUGCACUGGUUCACCCACAAGAAGAUCUGCAAGAAACUCCAGGAGCAGAGGCAGAAGCAUGAGGCUGAAUCAGCCAAGCGACUAGAGAAACAGGCCAAAGAAUCCGAGGAGAAGAAAGCACUGGAAGAGACGAGUAGCAGCAUGGAAAAUCUUUCUCUCGAGCAGAGUGAAGUUAGCAGCACAUCAGAUGUUCAAAUAGAAACCAAGAGCACCGACCCCAUUCAGAUAACUUCAGACUGAGUCAUGCGGGUUAAACAGAGGCGACAUUUAGCCCUGAAUCAUUUCCAUUAAUCACCGUCACACCCUGCCUCAGCCAGAACACUCUGACGUCCACGUUGUCCAAAAUCUGGGGACCUUCUGAAGGUUACUGUCAGAGGAGGAGUUUUUGGAGAAUGAGAUCUGAUGGAAAAGCUAACAGAGCUUUCAACACAUGCACAGGCUUUCCUUCAACAUGCGACACAUUUUACUGUACUGUUUGUUCUUUUAUAGCUAGCGUUAUGUGAUCAUGUAUCAAAAUUAGAUUUGGUAUAGAGAGCAUAUAUUUAUGACCGUAAGUCUUAAGUUAAACCUUAUGUUGCUAUGUGAUGUUGCAUAGAGGAUAAAGAUGUUGAAGCCUAUGCCUUAAAUGAUGUUGGCAAGUCUGUAGUUGUGACUGGGGAUGAAAAUCAUUAAUACAGUCUACAGCAGACUUAAGAAUACGUCACUCUGAGUUGGUGUCUGCUUUUUUAGGAACCUCAUAAGAAAUAAAGUCCAUUUGAAAUGGAGUCACAUAUUUGAAUGUUAAAAUUUAGUGUGCCAACUUCCCAUAACUAAGAUGCAGGGAAACAGGUAACACACUGACCUGAAUAAUGAAUUAAAACUGCUUAUUUGCGUUUACUAGGUUUGAGAUGGAGGUAAAGAAACCACACUUGGAAGUCGAGUGUAUUAUCUGAAUUUGACAGUAAGGAUCUUGGCUGCAAUUGAACUCUGCUCCUCCAGGGGUUGCUGCUGAGCUCUUCUCACGCUGCUCCAGUCCAGAGUAGAGAACUGCAUGAUGGAUCUCUGCAUGGCCCUGCGCUCACAGAGGUCCUUGAUCUCAUCAAAUGGGCAUCUGAAAAUACCAAAAUACCUUGCUUUAUCUCUGCAUAAAGAGAAUGGUGCAGCAGCGCUUUAUUCCCUUAGUCUGUCCAGCUGUGUCACCUCAUCUGUAUGCUCUCUCUUAGAUCACUAAGUAGCCGAGCUGAGUCUCUGCACGAUUCUUCUCCAUUGCAUUCUGCAUCUUUGAGUCCAGCAUUUGCUGUCUCCACUACAUCUCCAUUGGAUUCCCCAUUAAUAUGGAAGGCGAGUCAUCCAGAUUUCCUGAAGAUCAUGGGAAGAAAAAAAAGUCUGUCUCUCUUUUUUCAUUAUUUUCAAUGAUACUGUGAUAUUUACUGAUUGGUCACCUUGCACGUACAUCCUUGUUAACCAACUUAUAGACUGAAAUUAAAUUAUUCAGUUCAAAAAUAUUCAUUGUAAGUAAAUCAAUAGAAUGUUCCUAAUGUCCUCGCGCCAUUAGCAUGGAUAUUACUCGACUCAAAUUUGGUGUAUUUGAUCAUUCUACGCUAAUAAAUGCAACCCUGUUGCUUAUUUAACAGUAAAAGGUUGCAUAGAAAAUAUAUAUUGCCUGAUAUUGGUUAACACAUUUAUUUUUAAAUAGUUAAAUGCAUGUUUUCAUAGAUUCAGUGAAAAUUUUAAAGAAUGGUUCAUUUUUAAAAGCUAUAAGGGGUAAAUGGCAACAGGAAAAAAUGGAGCCAGCCAUAUUAAUGACCUACAAGAGGGAUGCACUUUGUAUAUAAUUACUGAUUUGUCAGCCUAAACCCUAUCUGUAAGUGGAGGGAGAAUACUAUAAUAGUGCUAAUGUUAUACAUCUUAUUUGGAUGAUGGAUCAUUCUCAGCACAAUACUUACACUAACACAGUAGUUUGUGUUCCUGGUACAAUUGUGUCAGGCAACAAUUUUCAUUAAAGGUGCCAAUAAUUCUGGAGUUGACUGUACACAUACAGUCAUAUUCACACUUUGUGAUGGAUAUGCUACGUGUUAUUUAUUUAUUUUAUUCUGUAGUGUUUCAGUACAGUUUUAAUACCUCGCUGUGUCUCUUGAGUCAUUGUCUUUUCCGCCAGUGCUCGUCUGCCGAAGGCGAGUCUGUCAUGAAUUGUCUGUCUCUCAGGACUGAAGAGUUUAAAGGCACGUCUCCUGUCCUCCUGUCUCACCUCUAUCAAUGGAUUACAUCGUUCACUCACCAGCUGGUCAAAUAGUUAUUAAAACAAUUCCUAAACAUGAUGUAUGCAAUAUGUAUGUUGGCCAAAAGUAUGUGGACGCCUGACCAACCAUACCCAUGUGCUUGUUGAACAUCCCGUUCCAGAUUUUGUUAUAAUAACCUCCACUCUUCUGGGAAGGCUUUCCAUUAGAAUUUGGAGCUUGGCUGUGGGGUUUUGUGUUCAUUCAGCCUCAAGAGCAUUAGUGAGGUCAGGUGCUGAUGUUGGGGGAGGAGGCCUGGGGGUCAGUCAACAUUCCAGUUCAUCCCAAAGGUGUUAAAUGGGGUUGAGGUCAGGGCUCUGUGCACGACACUCCAGUUCUUCCACUCCAGCCUUGGCACACCAUGCCUUCAUGGAGCUCGCUUUGUGCACAUGGGCAUUGUUGUGCCGGAACAGGUUUGGGCCUCUUCGCUCACGUGAAGGGAAAUUGUAAUGCUACAGCAUACAAAGACAUCCUUUACAAUUGUGUGCUUGCAACAGUUUGUGGAAGAACCACAUAUGAAUGUGAUGUUCAGGUGUCCACAUACUUUUGGCCAUAUAGUGUAGCUGAAAAGUCAGUACUCAAUUACCUUUUCUGUCUAAUAAUUGAACAGAUGGCAAGCGAUGGACUGUGUAUUCCCAAUACAGGGGGUCUUGUGUAAAGGGAUUCAGGAACAAAUCUGAAAUGUUGCAACAUUGUAAUAUUACUCAUCACUUCAUUUAUGUAGAUUUUAGGAGUGGUUGCAUACAAAAUGUUUAUUCAUUUAUAGGAUAGGGAGCCAUCCAUAACACACAUUCCCACACUCAUUUACACCUAGGGGCGGUUUAACAUAGGCAGUCCACCUACUGGCAUGUUCUAGUGAGGAAACCAGAGAACCCAGACUAAACCCACACAGAGAACAUUGUGAAACCCGAGCUCAAGAUUGAACCAGGGACCCUGGAGCUGUGAGGCAGUAACACUACCUGCUGCAC